rnacentral:rRNA from 1 species
UACGUAGGGUCCGAGCGUUGUCCGGAAUUAUUGGGCGUAAAGGGCUCGUAGGCGGUUUGUCACGUCGGGCGUGAAAACUCAGGGCUCAACCCUGAGCGUGCGUUCGAUACGGGCAGACUAGAGGCAUGCAGGGGAGAACGGAAUUCCUGGUGUAGCGGUGAAAUGCGCAGAUAUCAGGAGGAACACCGGUGGCGAAGGCGGUUCUCUGGGCAUGUCCUGACGCUGAGGAGCGAAAGUGUGGGGAGCGAACAGG